GUUGGCUUGGAAGCAGCCAUUCAUUUAAAGAGUGCGUAACAGCUCACUAGUCGAGUGCUUUGGCAUGGAUAAUAAUCGGGCAUAAGCUAUUUACCGAAGCUGUGGGAUGUUUAAGACAUCGGUAGGGGAGCAUUCCAGCGACGUUGAAGGUAAGAGGACAACUCUUGCUGGAGUUUCUGGAAAAGCAAAUGUAGGUAUAAGUAACGAUAAAGGAGGUGAGAAACCUCCUCGCCGAAAGACUAAGGUUUCCUGAUCAACGCUAAUCGGAUCAGGGUUAGUCGGGGCCUAAGGGGAAGCCGAACGGCGCACCCGAUGGAAGAACCGGUUAAUAUUCCGGUACUAAUUAUGUGAGCGAUGUGGAGACGGAGAUGUGACGGUCCUGCCAGCUGACGGAAUAGCUGGUUAAAGGGUGUAGGUGUUGAUUGGGGUAGGCAAAUCCGCCCUGAGAGCUGAACCUGACAGUACUCUGAGUGCUUGCACAAGGAGAUAUGGACAAAGUAACGGUGCUCCCAAGAAAAUCCGCUAAGCAUAUUGCAUGAUUACCCGUACCACAAACCGACACAGGUGGUUGGGUUGAGUAUACUAAGGCGCUCGAGUGAUUCGCGGUUAAGGAACUAGGCAAAAUAGUCCUGUAACUUCGGAAUAAAGGACGCUCACAGUGAAGGCUGUGAGCCGCAGAGAAUAGGCCCAGGCGACUGUUUAACAAAAACACAUGGCUAUGCUAAAUCGAAAGAUACAGUAUAUAGCCUGACACCUGCCCGGUGCUGGAAGGUUAAGAGGAGAUGUCAUCGCAAGAGAAGCAUUGAAUUGAAGCCCCAGUAAACGGCGGCCGUAACUAUAACGGUCCUAAGGUAGCGAAAUUCCUUGUCGGGUAAGUUCCGACCUGCACGAAUGGUGUAACGAUCUGGGCACUGUCUCAGCCACGAGCUCGGUGAAAUUGUAGUAUCGGUGAAGAUGCCGAUUACCCGCAAUGGGACGAAAAGACCCUGUGAACCUUUACUAUAACUUCGUAUUGACUUUGAGUAAGUAAUGUGUAGGAUAGGUGGGAGGCUGUGAAGCUGGCACGCUAGUGUUGGUGGAGCCGUUGUUGAAAUACCACCCUUUGCUUACUUGGAGCCUAACUUCUGAAAAAGAGUAAGAAGGACAUUGCGUGGUGGGUAGUUUGACUGGGGUGGUCGCCUCCAAAAGAGUAACGGAGGCUUUCAAAGGUACCCUCAGCACGCUUGGUAACCGUGCGUAGAGUGUAAUGGCAUAAGGGUGCUUGACUGUGAGACCUACAAGUCGAUCAGGUGCGAAAGCAGGACAUAGUGAUCCGGUGGUUCCGUAUGGAAGGGCCAUCGCUCAUAGGAUAAAAGGUACUCCGGGGAUAACAGGCUAGUCUCCCCCAAGAGCUCACAUCGACGGGGAGGUUUGGCACCUCGAUGUCGGCUCGUCACAUCCUGGGGCUGGAGAAGGUCCCAAG
rnacentral:rRNA from 1 species